UGCGGGAUAGAGCAGUGGUCAGCUCGUCAGGCUCAUAACUUGAAGGUCGGUGGUUCAAAUCCGCCUCCCGCAACCA
rnacentral:tRNA from 1 species